UACGGAGGGGGCUAGCGUUAUUCGGAAUUACUGGGCGUAAAGCGCGCGUAGCGGAUCAGAAAGUAGGAGGUGAAAUCCCAGGGCUCAACCUUGGAACUGCCUUUGAAACUCCUGAUCUUGAGGUCGAGAGAGGUGAGUGGAAUUCCGAGUGUAGAGGUGAAAUUCGUAGAUAUUCGGAGGAACACCAGUGGCGAAGGCGGCUCACUGGCUCGAUACUGACGCUGAGGUGCGAAAGCGUGGGGAGCAAACAGG
rnacentral:rRNA from 1 species